rnacentral:rRNA from 1 species
UACGUAGGGUGCGAGCGUUGUCCGGAAUUAUUGGGCGUAAAGAGCUUGUAGGCGGUUUGUCGCGUCUGCUGUGAAAAUCCGGGGCUCAACCCCGGACUUGCAGUGGGUACGGGCAGACUAGAGUGUGGUAGGGGAGACUGGAAUUCCUGGUGUAGCGGUGAAAUGCGCAGAUAUCAGGAGGAACACCGACGGCGAAGGCAGCACUCUGGGCCGGUACUGACGCUGAGGAGCGAAAGCAUGGGGAGCGAACAGG